UUAAAAAGCUCGUAGUUGGAUUUUGGUUAAGAGGGCGCGGUCGGCCGUUUGGUCUGUACUGCGUUGUCUUGACUUCCUGAUGAGGACAUGCUCUUGGUUAACGCUGAGACAUGGAGUCAUCGUGGUUACUUUGAAAAAAUUAGAGUGUUCAAAGCGGGCUUACGCUUGAAUAUAUUAGCAUGGAAUAACACUAUAGGACUCCUGUCCUAUCUCGUUGGUCUCGGGAUGGGAGUAAUGAUUAAGAGGAACAGUUGGGGGCAUUCGUAUCUCAUUGUCAGAGGUGAAAUUCUUGGAUUUAUGAAAGACGAACUUCUGCGAAAGCAUUUGCCAAGGAUGUUUUCAUUAAUCAAGAACGAAAGUUGGGGGCUCGAAGAUGAUUAGAUACCAUCCUAGUCUCAACCAUAAACGAUGCCGACUAGGGAUUGGUGGAUGUUAAUUGAUGACUUCACCAGCACCUUAUGA
rnacentral:rRNA from 1 species